AGACGGAGGGGGCGAGCGUUGUCCGGAGUCACUGGGCGUAAAGGGUCCGUAGGCGGUGGGGUAAGUGGCACGUGAAAGCCUCAGGCUCAACCUGAGCGAAGUCGUGCCAAACCGCCCCGCUGGAGGGCCGGAGAGGGGAGUGGAACUGCCGGAGUAGCGGUGAAAUGCGGAGAUAUCGGCAGGAACGCCGGUGGCGAAGGCGGCUCCCUGGACGGCUCCUGACGCUGAGGGACGAAAGCCAGGGGAGCGAACCGGAUGAGAUACCCGGGUAGUCUUGGACGUAAACGUUGGGCACUAGGUGUGGGGAGCAUCGACCCUUCCCGUGCCGCAGCUAACGCGUUAAGUGCCCCGCCUGGGGAGUACGGCCGCAAGGUUGAA
rnacentral:rRNA from 1 species